UAUAUCACCUCUAUUUUUGUUUUCCCCGCUUUUGAUUCCCCAAAAACUAAAAGCUUUCUGCUGCCCAAAAGAUUAUUUUAAUUUUUAACUUUUAUUUUCCCACCGAUGUUAGAAUUUUAACCUAAUUUCAUCCACCUAAAAUUCACACCAUCAUUUCUCCUACCACACAAACCCCAAAUCGACCUAAGUUUUCCAUCGACUCUUCUUAAAAUUCAAUUCAUGCCCGCCUUACUCACCCCUCGUCCUAUAGAGCUCUUCAUGAAAUCACAACUCACCGUCUUACCACGUUCACGAUCUGAUAGCGAAGACAAAGUUGUUAGUGGUUUUAGGUUUGAAAAUGACUAUUUCAGUUCAUGAUUCAGAUUAUUAAUGUUGUUGUUAUCGAUAAAUUCGAGAAGUUAGCAUUGGGUUCCCCUUUUACAAGGCGAUGAGAGGUAAUAGUACGUCAAUUUCAGUUUAGGGUUAAAUGUGCAUCAUAGCGUUCCUGUUUUUUUAUUUAAGAUUUAUAUAUGGAUGUUUGUGAUCCUAAUUGUUGAUUUAGGGUUUAUAAUUGCUCAGAAUUUCAUGAUAAUACCGUUUUCUCUAUGUGUAUCAACUCUCAAAUUUAUUUCUGUUUCAUCUAAGUAAAGCUAAUUUCUGAUUUCCAAAUUCAAAUGUGCAAUGAAGAAUUUUUAGAAAUUUUUGAUGUAGAAUGCUUCAGAAAUAAAUUAAAUGUCGUGGGAAGAAGGUUUGCUGCAAAAUAGAAGCUCAUUUCAUCAAUUUGUUGAUGGGAUUCAACCGUAGUUGAUAAACCUGAUGCAUGUAAGAAAGGCAUAUAUGAGGUAAAAAGUGGUGAUAAAGAGGUUGUGUAGGACUAUUUUGGUCAUGACGACGAAGAAUCCAACAAAACAUCACAAGGUUAUAAAUGCAUGUUGAAUUUAAAAGAUUUUGAGGAUGCUAUGGUAUGUAAAACUGGCAAAGAGGGGAAGAAUCAGUUGCUGGAAUCGAAACAUUUAUUUUUUGUUGACAUUUGUGUUUCAAGAAGUUGAGAGUAUGGUUGAUAGACAAGUUUGAAUGGAAGUAAUAAUAUUGUGUUUUCUAUUUA